rnacentral:lncRNA from 1 species
CUGGAAACUCGGACUCUGAAUGCUUGGAAUAUGAAUGCUUCCUCCCAGAGUCACAGUGUUUAUGCUGCUGUGUAUGUCAUUGUGCGGGCACUUCUCAGAGAACUCUCACUCAGGUGGAAGAAGAAUCACGUGACAUGGUGCAGCUGUGGCCUCUCAUCCAUGGCAGGAAUUUCUCUCCAUCUACUAUGACAAUUAAAAGACUAGUGUAAAGUUGCAGUUCACUGAAGACCCCUUAAAGACAAUGUGCAAUGGCUGCACAUUCCACUCCUCUUAUUGCCAAAUGGUCGGUGAAGUUGAUGUUCUCAGUUUGCCAUUUGUCCUCUUAGAGGUGAGUCAGAGCUGUGCACAAAUAGGCAAUCAAGGGUAGGUGUCCUCUUAUUUUUCUUUAAAACCCAUUAAUAACCUACUUUCUACUAUAUUGUAAAUGUCAUUCUGUAUCAGUACAGGGAAAUGGCAUAGCAUGGGGAUAAUCCACCUGCAUUUAUUUUGUGGUUUGGC